rnacentral:rRNA from 1 species
CCUACGGGGGGCUGCAGUGAGGAAUAUUGGUCAAUGGUCGGGAGACUGAACCAGCCAAGCCGCGUGAGGGAUGAAGGUACAGAGUAUCGUAAACCUCUUUUGUCAGGGAACAAAGGCGGGGACGUGUCCCCGGAUGAGUGUACCUGAAGAAAAAGCAUCGGCUAACUCCGUGCCAGCAGCCGCGGUAAUACGGAGGAUGCGAGCGUUAUCCGGAUUUAUUGGGUUUAAAGGGUGCGCAGGCGGUCUGUUAAGUCAGCGGUCAAAGUCCGGGGCUCAACCCCGGCCCGCCGUUGAAACUGGCAGUCUCGAGUUGGAGAGAAGUAUGCGGAAUGCGCGGUGUAGCGGUGAAAUGCAUAGAUAUCGCGCAGAACUCCGAUUGCGAAGGCAGCAUGCCGGCUCCACACUGACGCUGAGGCACGAAAGCGUGGGUAUCGAACAGGAUUAGAUACCCCGGUAGUC